rnacentral:piRNA from 1 species
UGGAACUUUGUUAGGAUGUUGUCCUGCAGC